AAUGGGCGAGAGCCUGAACCAGCCAUCCCGCGUGCAGGAAGACGGCCCUAUGGGUUGUAAACUGCUUUUUUAUGGGAAGAAAAAGCUCUACGUGUAGGGCACUGACGGUACCAUAUGAAUAAGCAUCGGCUAACUCCGUGCCAGCAGCCGCGGUAAUACGGAGGAUGCGAGCGUUAUCCGGAUUUAUUAGGUUUAAAGGGUGUGUAGGCGGGUUAUUAAGUCAGUGGUGAAAUCUCAGAGCUUAACUCUGAAACUGCCAUUGAUACUGGUAAUCUUGAGUACAGUUGAAGUAGGCGGAAUGUGUAAUGUAGCGGUGAAAUGCUUAGAUAUUACACAGAACACCGAUUGCGAAGGCAGCUUACUAAGCUGUUACUGACGCUGAUGCACGAAAGCGUGGGGAGCGAA
rnacentral:rRNA from 1 species